UACGGAGGGUGCAAGCUUUAUCCGGAUUCACUGGGUUUAAAGGGUGCGUAGGCGGGCAGGUAAGUCCGUGGUGAAAUCUCUGAGCUUAACUCAGAAACUGCCAUGGAUUCUAUUUGUCUUGAAUAUUGUGGAGGUAAGCGGAAUAUGUCAUGUAGCGGUGAAAUGCUUAGAUAUGACAUAGAACACCAAUUGCGAAGGCAGCUUACUACACAGUUAUUGACGCUGAGGCACGAAAGCGUGGGGAUCAAACAGG
rnacentral:rRNA from 1 species